GGCUCGUUGGUCUAGGGGUAUGAUUCUCGCUUCGGGUGUGACAGGUCCCGGGUUCAAAUCCCGGACGAGCCC
rfam:Danio rerio chromosome 4, GRCz11 reference primary assembly.